GACGAACGCUGGCGGCGUGCUUAACACAUGCAAGUCGAACGGAAAGGCCCUGCUUUUGUGGGGUGCUCGAGUGGCGAACGGGUGAGUAACACGUGAGUAACCUGCCCUUGACUUUGGGAUAACUUCAGGAAACUGGGGCUAAUACCGGAUAGGAGCUCCUGCUGCAUGGUGGGGGUUGGAAAGUUUCGGCGGUUGGGGAUGGACUCGCGGCUUAUCAGCUUGUUGGUGGGGUAGUGGCUUACCAAGGCUUUGACGGGUAGCCGGCCUGAGAGGGUGACCGGCCACAGUGGGACUGAGAUACGGCCCAGACUCCUACAGGAGGCAGCAGUGGGGAAUAUUGCACAAUGGGCGGAAGCCUGAUGCAGCAACGCCGCGUGCGGGAUGACGGCCUUCGGGUUGUAAACCGCUUUCGCCUGUGACGAAGCGUGAGUGACGGUAAUGGGUAAAGAAGCACCGGCUAACUACGUG
rnacentral:rRNA from 1 species